GAUGAACGCUAGCGGGAGGCCUAACACAUGCAAGCCGACCGGUAUUGCUUUUUCGGCUAUCCGUGAGCGGCGUACGGUUGCGUAACACGUGUGCAACCUGCCUUUAUCUCGUUGACAGCCUUUCGAACGGAAGAUUACUACUCCAUAAUAUAUUGAACGGCAUCGUUUAAAAUUGAAAGCUCCGGCGGCUUGAGAUGGGCACGCGCAAGAUUAGCUAGUGGGUAAGGUAACGGCUCACCAAGGCGCUGAUCCUGAGGGGGGCGGAGGAUGUGAUCCACCAUACUGGUACUGAGGUCCGGACUAGACCGCUACGGGAGGCAGCGGUGUGGUAUAUUAUGCAAUGGAUGCAAGCCUGACCCAGCCAUCCCGCGUGAAGGAAGACUGCCGUAUGGGAUGUCAUCUUCUUUUGUAUAGGAAUAGACCUACCAUCGUGAGGUUAGCUGACGGUACUCGACGAAUAAGCACCGGCUAACUCCGUG
rnacentral:rRNA from 1 species